rnacentral:rRNA from 1 species
GUCUCAAAGAUUAAGCCAUGCAUGUCUAAGUAUAAGCAAUUAUACCGCGAAACUGCGAAUGGCUCAUUAUAUAAGUUAUCGUUUAUUUGAUAGUACCUUACUACUUGGAUAACCGUGGUAAUUCUAGAGCUAAUACAUGCUAAAAAUCCCGACUUCGGAAGGGAUGUAUUUAUUAGAUUAAAAACCAAUGCCCUUCGGGGCUCACUGGUGAUUCAUGAUAACUCCUCGAAUCGCAUGGCCUUGUGCCGGCGAUGGUUCAUUCAAAUUUCUUCCCUAUCAACUUUCGAUGUUUGGGUAUUGGCCAAACAUGGUUGCAACGGGUAACGGAGGGUUAGGGCUCGACCCCGGAGAAGGAGCCUGAGAAACGGCUACUACAUCCAAGGAAGGCAGCAGGCGCGCAAAUUACCCAAUCCCGACACGGGGAGGUAGUGACAAUAAAUACUGAUACAGGGCUCUUUUGGGUCUUGUAAUUGGAAUGAGUACAAUUUAAAUCCCUUAACGAGGAACAAUUGGAGGGCAAGUCUGGUG